UACGAAGGGGGCUAGCGUUGCUCGGAAUCACUGGGCGUAAAGCGCACGUAGGCGGAUUGUUAAGUCAGGGGUGAAAUCCUGGAGCUCAACUCCAGAACUGCCUUUGAUACUGGAGAGCUUGAGUCCGGAAGAGGUGAGUGGAACUCCGAGUGUAGAGGUGAAAUGCGUAGAUAUCUGGAGGAACACCGGUGGCGAAGGCGACAUCCUGGACCGGUAUUGACGCUGAGGCGCGAA
rnacentral:rRNA from 1 species